rnacentral:lncRNA from 1 species
AACGGCUUUUGAGGUGAGGGCGGAACAUCGGGUGCCCGCCGCAUCGCGAGCGUUCUACAAUCACAGCCGGUAAACGUUGGAACGAAGUUUGUGUUCUUCCUGGACUUGACGAACUUACCCAGGGGCAGAACAGCGGGUUUAGUGGAAGUGCCAAAGUCACAACUUGUCAAACGGGGACCACAGCCUACUCGUUGGGGUACUGGGGAAGAAACACGCCUAUUUGUAGACAGUACGCAGCAGCUCAGGCGGUACAAAAGGACAGAACAACACGGAGGAGAAAGCACGUUCACUUUCAGUCUGUGUUGUUCUGAACCGUACCUUCCACAUUUCCACAGGGGCGACCCGCGUUUACCUUGCCUCUCCCGGAGGUUCGUUACAGCCUGUGUAUAAACCCUGGUGUGUGUCAACGCUUUUCUGUAUUCCGUGGAUUUCGUUGUUGCGUCGAAGCUCGUCGAGGAGAGACUGCCGAUUGGUGUGUCAACGGCAAGCGCACGUAAGCUGCUCCCCGCUCACGGUUUCUUCUCCCCUUCACAAGUGAGAAUCGAUUGCCUGUUCGAUCGACGCCAUGUCGCUUUUUCGUGUGUAACUUGUGCGUCGCGUUGCCAGCUCAAAACCAUGAUGCGAGUGUGUUUGGUUAGUCUUAGAAACGAUGUAAUUUCCAUGUAGACUACGAGACCAGGUGCGCUCGCUUUACAGCAGCCACCAUCGUUCUCUUUGGGACAGAGCGCAGUGUCAGAGUUUCCCCGAGCGCGGGUGGAGGCAGGGUGGAAGGCAAACGAUUUUAGAUCGAUUGGUAUACAGCAUCAUAGACCGUAUCCACGGCACAGUGCAGAUGCCAUGCAGCUUGAUCGUAUGUGUUGUAGUGUGCCAAUCUCCGACCGUUUUGAGUCUCCUAGCACUGGCGCAGAAAGGCGCACGGGGCACGCAUCACUUCCCUGCAGUGCGGAAGACCGAGACCAAGUCAACCUGAUGCAAGAUGUCGCCGGUGUUGACGGGUGCUGCGUUCCGUCGCCAACUCGUGGGUGAAAGGGUUACAGAUCCGAAGAAGUUGCCUCCGUAGAAUCGAAGGAGUUCUUGGCUGUAAGACAGCUCCUCCA